UCUUUUUAGGUUAAUAUCUCUAAAAGAUGACACACGCAUUAUAUCUGGCUGGAAUUCAAAGAAGCGAAAAGAUAAAGAUAAAAAAUAGUGACAUCAUAAGAAAAAACAAAAUCUCUCGAUGACGCAUGAUCGAUAUAACCAGUCUGUGCUACGUAAUGGUUGCGGUGAUAAACGCCGAGUUACGCAGAUCCUUCGCCCCGAAGGCGCCGCUACGUCUAUCCUCCGCACCUCUUCAAACUUCCUUCCUUUCUUUUUUACUAUUAAUACAUCUUUAAAUUUUUUUUUUUCCUCGUCUUCGCGUCGAAUUAAAAUUAUUCCAUUAAUUCCGAGUUUUCACACAUUUUUUUUUUUAAUAAUCGUCACGAUUUCAUUGAGUUUCAGCAACAAGAGAGAACGAAGCAAAACGAAGAGAAAUCCAUCUGUCGAUAAGAUAUGUUUAAAUUUCUUUUACAGUUCGAUUACGAAACAAGAGUGACGACUUAACCUAUUCACGGAAAGGAUAUUCUGAACGAACUUUCCUUAAUCUUGCUUGCCAUGCGUAAAAGUGUAAGGAAAAAAAACAAAAAAAAAAAAAAAAA